AAAAGGUGGCUAUGCUACCGCUUUUGGAUGGGCCCGCGGCGCAUUAGCUAGUUGGUGGGGUAAAGGCUUACCAAGGCAAUGAUGCGUAGCCGAACUGAGAGGUUGAUCGGCCACAUUGGGACUGAGACACGGCCCAAACUCCUACGGGAGGCAGCAGUAGGGAAUCUUCCACAAUGGGCGAAAGCCUGAUGGAGCAACGCCGCGUGGGUGAAGAAGGUCUUCGGAUCGUAAAACCCUGUUGUUAGAGAAGAAAGUGCGUGAGAGUAACUGUUCACGUUUCGACGGUAUCUAACCAGAAAGCCACGGCUAACUACGUGCCAGCAGCCGCGGUAAUACGUAGGUGGCAAGCGUUAUCCGGAUUUAUUGGGCGUAAAGGGAACGCAGGCGGUCUUUUAAGUCUGAUGUGAAAGCCUUCGGCUUAACCGGAGUAGUGCAUUGGAAACUGGGAGACUUGAGUGCAGAAGAGGAGAGUGGAACUCCAUGUGUAGCGGUGAAAUGCGUAGAUAUAUGGAAGAACACCAGUGGCGAAAGCGGCUCUCUGGUCUGUAACUGACGCUGAGGUUCGAAGGCGUGGGUAGCAAACAGGAUUAGAUACCCUGGUAGUCCACGCCGUAAACGAUGAAUGCUAAGUGUUGGAGGGUUUCCGCCCUUCA
rnacentral:rRNA from 1 species